UGCAGUCGAACGGUAACAUUGGUGCUUGCACCAGAUGACGAGUGGCGCACGGGUGCGUAACGCGUAUGCAAUCUACCUUUUACUGAAGAAUAGCCCAGAGAAAUUUGGAAUAAUCCUUCAUAACAUCGUUUAUCAGCAUUGAUUUAUGAUUAAAGCUCCGGCGGUAAAAGAUGAGCAUGCGUCCUAUUAGUUUGUUGGUGAGGUAACGGCUCACCAAGACUACGAUAGGUAGGGGCCCUGAGAGGGGGAUCCCCCACACUGGUACUGAGACACGGACCAGACUCCUACGGGAGGCAGCAGUGAGGAAUAUUGGACAAUGGAGGCAACUCUGAUCCAGCCAUGCCGCGUGCAGGAUGACUGCCCUAUGGGUUGUAAACUGCUUUUAUAUAGGAAGAAACACUCCCACGUGUGGGGGCUUGACGGUACUAUAUGAAUAAGGAUCGGCUAACUCCGUGCCAGCAGCCGCGGUAAUACGGAGGAUCCAAGCGUUAUCCGGAAUCAUUGGGUUUAAAGGGUCCGCAGGCGGCCUGUUAAGUCAGAGGUGAAAGCCAACAGCUCAACUGUUGAACUGCCUUUGAUACUGAUAGGCUUGAGUUAUUGUGAAGUGGUUAGAAUGUGUGGUGUAGCGGUGAAAUGCUUAGAUAUCACACAGAAUACCCAUUGCGAAGGCAGAUCACUAACAAUAUACUGACGCUCAUGGACGAAAGCGUGGGGAGCGAACGGGAUUAGAUACCCCGGUAGUCCACGCCGUAAACGAUGGAUACUAACUGUUCGACCUUCGGGUUGAGUGGUCAAGCGAAAGUGAUAAGUAUCCCACCUGGGGAGUACGCUCGCAAGAGUGAAACUCAAAGG
rnacentral:rRNA from 1 species